UUCAAUAUCUGCAAAAGCUGCAUCCUCUUUGUCCUAUUCUCAGGCUGGAUAAAUCACAAAUGAACAUAUUUUAACUAUGAACAAAAUACAAUUAAUUAUAUCUCCGGUUUAAUUACACGAGUAGGGUAUAUACAGAUUGAUAAACUCUCGGAUCAAAAGAAAGGUUAGUAAGAUACGAAGCAAAUACAACAACAAAUAAUAAUUAAUACACAUCAAACAAUAAGAACUACUACUCAAUAACUAACAAC
rnacentral:lncRNA from 1 species